rnacentral:rRNA from 1 species
GUCGAGCGAACAGACGAGGAGCUUGCUCCUCUGACGUUAGCGGCGGACGGGUGAGUAACACGUGGAUAACCUACCUAUAAGACUGGGAUAACUUCGGGAAACCGGAGCUAAUACCGGAUAAUAUAUUGAACCGCAUGGUUCAAUAGUGAAAGACGGUUUUGCUGUCACUUAUAGAUGGAUCCGCGUCGCAUUAGCUAGUUGGUAAGGUAACGGCUUACCAAGGCAACGAUGCGUAGCCGACCUGAGAGGGUGAUCGGCCACACUGGAACUGAGACACGGUCCAGACUCCUACGGGAGGCAGCAGUAGGGAAUCUUCCGCAAUGGGCGAAAGCCUGACGGAGCAACGCCGCGUGAGUGAUGAAGGUCUUCGGAUCGUAAAACUCUGUUAUUAGGGAAGAACAAAUGUGUAAGUAACUAUGCACGUCUUGACGGUACCUAAUCAGAAAGCCACGGCUAACUACGUGCCAGCAGCCGCGGUAAUACGUAGGUGGCAAGCGUUAUCCGGAAUUAUUGGGCGUAAAGCGCGCGUAGGCGGUUUUUUAAGUCUGAUGUGAAAGCCCACGGCUCAACCGUGGAGGGUCAUUGGAAUCUGGAAAACUUGAGUGCAGAAGAGGAAAGUGGAAUUCCAUGUGUAGCGGUGAAAUGCGCAGAGAUAUGGAGGAACACCAGUGGCGAAGGCGACUUUCUGGUCUGUAACUGACGCUGAUGUGCGAAAGCGUGGGGAUCAAACAGGA